GUUCCAGGACUCUGAGGGAGCAGCCCAGCUGGACCGAGGCCGCGUCGUUCCUGGGCUUACUAUUCCCAGACCCGGACUCCCGAUUCCGGAGUCACGGCCCAGGACGCGAAAAGACUCUACACUGGCACCACGCUCCUCCUUAGGCGGGCGGUCAGUCCCGGGUGCGGGCUGCGCUGGAGGCUGAGGUUUUCUGUGAAGACCCUGAUUGAUCGGUCUUGCUUUGAGACAAUUGAUGAUUCUUCUCCUGAAUUUAACAAUUUUGCAGCUAUUUUGGAACAGAUUUUAAGCCACCGGCUAAAAGGUCAAGUAACCUGGUUUGGUUAUGAAAGUCCUCGUAGCUUCUGGGACUAUAUCAGAGUGGCUUGCCGGAAAGUUUCACAGAAUUGUAUCUGCAGCAUUGAAAAUAUGGAAAAUGUCAGUUCUUCUAGAGC
rnacentral:sRNA from 1 species